rnacentral:rRNA from 1 species
CAUACUAACUAUUCGCCAGAAUACUACAAGCAAAACGCUUGAAACUCAAAGGACUUGGUGGUGUCCCAUAUCACCCUAGAGGAGCCUGUCCUAUAAUCGAUACUCCACGUUAAACCUUACCAUCUUUGGUCACUCCAGCCUAUAUACCGCCGUCGCAAGCCUACCCUAUGAAGGCCAUACAGUAGGCAAAACUGCUCUCACAAAAACGUCAGGUCAAGGUGUAGCUUAUAAGAUGGAAGAGAUGGGCUACAUUUUCUAACUUAGAAAAUACGAACAAUACACUGAAAUCUUGUAUUAGAAGGAGGAUUUAGAAGUAAAAUAUAAAAGAAAAACAAUUUUAAACUAGCCCUGGGACGCGCACACACCGCCCGUCACCCUCAUCAACAACACAUACAACUAACAUAUACCCUAAAUUUCUAAUAGAUGAGGCAAGUCGUAACAUGGUAAGCGUACUGGAAAGUGCGCUUGGAUUAACAAAAAGUAGCUUAAAACAAAGCAUUCAGCUUACAAUUGAAAAAUGUUAUUCACCCAACCUUUUUGAGCCUUAACCCAAGCCCACUAUAACCCCCACUCAAUCAAACAAAAUAAACAAACCAUUUGACCAGAAUAGUAUCUGAGAGAGAAC